GAUGAACGCUGGCGGCGUGCCUAAUACAUGCAAGUCGAACGCAUUGUGGUUGAAAUGAUAUGAAGAACUUGUUCAGAUUUGAUUUUCAACAUUGCAAUGAGUGGCGAACGGAUGAGUAACACGUGGGAAACCUACCUCUUAGCAGGGGAUAACAUUUGGAAACAAAUGCUAAAUACCCGUAUAAUAAUUAAAAACCGCAUGGUUUUAGUUUAAAGAUGGUCUUGCUAUCACUAAGAGAUGGUCCCGCGGUGUAUUAGUUAGUUGGUGAGGUAAUGGCUCACCCAAAGGACAAUGAUACAUAGCCGAGUUGAGAGACUGACCGGCCACAAUGGGACUGAGACACGG
rnacentral:rRNA from 1 species